CCUACGGGUGGCAGCAGUGAGGAAUCUUGCACAAUGGGCGCGAGCCUGAAGCAGCCAAGCCGCGUGAAGGAAGAAUGCUCUACGGGUUGUAAACUUCUUUUAUAAAGGAACAAAGUGAGGCACGUGUGCCUUAUUGUAUGUACUUUAUGAAUACGGAUCGGCUAACUCCGUGCCAGCAGCCGCGGUAAUACGGAGGAUGCGAGCGUUGUCCGGAUUUAUUGGGUUUAAAGGGAGCGUAGCAGGUGUGUUAAGUCAGUUGUGAAAGGCUGGGGCUCAACCGUUAAAUGGCAAUUGAUACUGGCAGCCUUGAGUACAGUAGAGGUGAGCGGAAUUCGUGGUGUAGCGGUGAAAUGCGUAGAUAUCACGAAGAACUCCGAUUGCGAAGGCAGCCUACUGGACUGCCACUGACGCUGAGGCACGAAAGUGUGGGUAUCAAACAGGAUUAGAUACCCCAGUAGUC
rnacentral:rRNA from 1 species